CUUUCCGUACACGACUCUCUGCCGAUGAGCGCUGGGAGGCAAGGAGCUGGAGAGAGAGCCAGGGGUCUUGGUGAGUCAGUGGGUCUUGGAACACCUUCAUAUGGACCAGGAGGGAAGGAAGACGUUCC